GGGCGCUUGGUCUAGGGGUAUGAUUCUCGCUUCGCACAGUGCGCAACAGCGCAACCGGCCUUGUGAGCGGUCCGGGGUUCAAUUCCCCGAGUGUCCA
rnacentral:tRNA from 1 species